rnacentral:lncRNA from 10 species
AAAAAAAAAGAAAGAAAUUCCAAAUUUAAUAUAGUCAAAUUUACUUUUUGUUAAAGAAAUUAAUUUUCUUUACUGUUUUGAUUUAUUUAAAAGACAAACACACACAAUCAUAAGGAUAUUCUUCUAUAUUUUCACCUACACAUUUUGCCUUUCACAUAACGUCUUGAAUAAACAAGGAGUAAAUUUUCGUGAACAGCGUGAGGUAGGGAUCUAACUUUAUUUUAUAUUCCAUGUGGCUAUAUUUAUUAAAGGGUUCAUCUUUUUCCCCAUUGAUUUGUAAUGUCUCAUUUGUACAUACAUUAAGUUUAUUAUACAUAUUUGUGGGCAAGAUGAGUUCUCCAUCAUGCUGUAGCGGUGCUGCCGCUGGAUGUGCAUCAGGGGUUGCUGAUGAGGGAGUCAAAUAUUUUCCCCUUUGAGGUAGCAGCACUAGGCUGUCCCCACAGCUCCAACCAGAAUAGCUCUGCUUUUAUGUUCACGAUAUUGGGUGUCCCGCUAAGAUUUUAUUUGAAUAACUUUUUAGAUGGAACAAUUUUAAAAGUUAAAAACUACCAUUUUUAAACAAAUUACAUUUUGGAUCGUUUUUUGAGAUAGCAAGGGUUUCGUCUCUCAUCUUGGGUUGGAUGAAAAGUGUAAGACAACACAGAACUCAGAACCUAGCAGCGAGGGAAGUGCAUGUUUUUCAAAGGGAAAGGAAUGUGUUAUUUUGCAGUUGUCAGUAGUUCCAAAUAUAUCAACUAUUCCACAAAAUAAUGAGUAUGUAGUUUCUGUGAGAGACUUAGAACUGUCUAGAGCCUAGUCCUUAUUGUCUGUGAUCAUAGAAACCAUGGAGGAAAAAAGCCUACCUAUACGAAAGUAGUUAAAAAAAAAAUAACCCACAGCAAUACAAGAAAUGACAUCAGCCAGCAGAUGACUGAAAAUGAGUGGUGUUGAUAAGAACUUGAGGAAUUUUGAGAUGGGAGAGGUGUGGGCCAGAAUGAAUAAGACCUUGAUUUAUGGACUAGGAUUUGGCUAAGUCGAGAGUAGGAGGAAAGAACAGAGGCAGUGUGUCUUCCCUCAGUGGAGUUCCCACAGCCCCCACCGUGCUUACCGCUCCUGCAUCACUUCCUACACCCUAAUACAAUGAUGGUUUUAUCCACCCUCACCCCCACCCCCACGCUCCUUCCCCCAGACUACACUCACUACCAGAAAGCUUGUGAGUUCUUUGAGGGUGGGCAGUGGGCAGCCUGUCAUUUCAACAUUCCCAGCCUCCUGCACCAUGUUUGCAUGUGGUAGGCACCCAAUAAAUGUGUGCUGAGUGAGGGAGUAGACUCUUGGGCUGGAGCAGAGGAGUUAUAGACAGAGGAGUAAGAUCGAACUGGAUAGUUUUUGAUGACCUUGAAGAUCAGCCAGAGUCUGGCUUCAUACUGGGGCAACAAAGAACAGUGGGGGCACUCUGAGUUGAAGAGUGAUGAAGUGUGAUGAAGUCAUUUCAGAGGGACUCCCUGGUUGCUCUGAGUUGCCUGGCUGGGGGCAAGAGGCUUGUUCCUGCCCACACAGCAUACCAGGCCUUGUGGUGGGUGCUGCAAACAUGCUGUUAAAUGUGAUCAAUUACUGGAGUCACCUGUGAGGGAUGCAGCUCAGGUCUGUCCAACUCUAAAGCCUGCUGGUUCUUUUAUCUUGGAUAUUAUGUUUGACCACACUGUAAUCAAGAGAUACCACUAAGAUGGGAAGAUGAGCUGCCGAGAUGGGUGUGGGGCCUAGGGGUGAAGUAAGACUCAGGAAUGCCUGAGGUUUUUAGUUUGGGAGACAGGGAGAACGAUGGUGGCAAUGGCAGAAAUAGACAUAUGGAAGCCAGGAAGAGGUGCAGCAGUUGGUGAGAGAAUGAGCAUUAUUUUAGAUACCCUGAGUUUGAGAUGACAGUUCCAUUCAAGCAGGAAUUUCAUUAGGCAAGUGACAGUGCCACCCCCAUCCGCCUUUCAUUAAAUCUGUCAUUUUCUUUUCUUCUAAAUUGGGAAUGUUGCAGAGAAACUGUGAAAUAGAUGACACCCCUUUUACGUGCCAAAUACCUGACCUCCUUUUGCAGCUUCUUACCUUUCACUUUCAGAAAUAUUCUCCCUUGAAGGGGCUUCGUGUUUGUUUGCAGGAAUUAAUAGCAUUUUCUUUCCCUGUGCCCUGUAGGGAAAGAGCACAGCUAAACAAGGAGAGAGAAAACUGGAGUUCUGAGCUGCCUUGCUCCGAGUUUGGUUGGAGGCCCCUUAUGAGGGUCAGCUGGGAAUGAAAGAAAAGUCAAGUCAAGCUCUGCCAGCACCCUCCACCACCUGACCUCCCAUGGGUGACUGAAGAGCCAGCUAAUGAACAAGUUCUUUUAAAGGCAGCCUGGGGAGUGUGGGAGAGGCUGAGUUCAGCAAAACAUGACUAGGUGGUGCUGGUGCUGUUUCGGGGUGUGGAGGCAGAAGUGGUUGAUCUCCUUAAUUUGAAUAACUUUGGAAUGGGGAGAUGGCGCUUUGAUAGAGGAUUUGAUUGGAGAUUUUGAUUGUAGGAUAUGUUGAAAGAGGGGAUCAGGCUAAAGCCAUUUAUAGGAAAUUAUAUUUCAGAUAUUGGCAGUUGAACUUAAUGUAUUCUAUUCUCACUUCCAAAGGCUUUGAAUUUUUAGUGUUAUUUCUAUUUUGAGGAGAGUGGCCUAUGAGUACUUCUCAUCCAAUGUGUUCAAUCCAAGGAGACUAUAGGAGUUAUUACUCUCCUCCUUUUUAAAUUCUUUCUGUGUAACAGAGAUUACCCACAGUUGGCUUGAGAGUUUUACGCCACAGUUUGGUAGAAAAAAGACCACUCAGCUGGAGGUCAGAGGCUUGGGUACCAGUGGUAGCUCUGACCCUUGCCAUCAACUAUGUGGCCCUGGGUAAGUCUCUAACCUCUCCUGGCCUCAGCCUCUUCAGAUAUAGGAUGAACAUAUAAUUCCUACAUCUAGGAGUUGCUGUGUUGACUAAAUGAAGUAAUGCUUGUGUAUCAGCUUUGCAAAUUACAUACCCCAAACAAAUAUAUAUUAAGAUUUUAUUUGCUGCAACAGAAGAAAGUGGACCAUCUCUUGGUGUUUGUUUUGAUGAGACUUGACCUAUAUAACACUGGCUCAAGUAUGUUUGUUAAAGUGAAUCACCUGUUGCUUUCUGGGCCAUACGUGAAAUGACGUGCCAUGUUACAGUGAACCCCUUUUGCACCACCCCAAGUUCAGGUUGCCCUUACACAAUUUGGGCGAGAUAGAUGAACACGCACCUUCCUCCUUCUUAGAAACAAAACAGUGACUUGGGUAGGGUAGACAUUAGGAAAGUGACUUAGCUGGUAAAUAUGUGAUUAAUAAUGGAGAUUUGGCCUAAGCAUGAGUGCGAGCCUCUGAAUACGGAUGGGUAAAUGCUAAAUAGCAAGUCUGCCAAGUUGAGCACAUUGGGGAACCUCUUGGGCUCUGUUCAUGCUUGAAGUAUGACUGUGCCAAUACUGUACUCGCUAUUUAACAAAAUGAGGUCAUACCAAUCACACUAUUUUGCACGUAUUUGUUUACACAUCUCUUGUCUGCUAAGCUAUGAGCUCUUUGAGAGCAGGGACUGUUUCUGUUUAUCGUUGUUUUCUAGCAUCUAGCAGAGUGCUUAGCAUAUAAUAAAUGUGUAUUGGAUGAAUGAAUGAACGAAUGAAAUUCUUUGCAUUUUUAUUCGGUUAGAGAGAUUUUUUGAAAGGCAUAUAUGUGGGAUUAUUUGUGCCAUCAUCUGCUAAUUUCACAGAUGUCUUCUCAACUGUAGACCUUCAUAUAAGGGAAAGACCUAUUUACGCAUAGUUGAGUUGCAGCUGCUGCUGCCCUGGCCUGAUGGCACAGUGGUGAGGGCUGUCUCAAUAUCUGUCCCAUGUCUCUUUCAUAGAAUAAUACCCUCCCUCAGCCCCUUUUCCCU